AGCGAACGCUGGCGGCAGGCUUAACACAUGCAAGUCGAACGGGCUUCUUCGGAAGUCAGUGGCAGACGGGUGAGUAACACGUGGGAACGUGCCCUUCGGUUCGGAAUAACUCAGGGAAACUUGAGCUAAUACCGGAUACGCCCUUUUGGGGAAAGGUUUACUGCCGAAGGAUCGGCCCGCGUCUGAUUAGCUUGUUGGUGGGGUAACGGCCUACCAAGGCGACGAUCAGUAGCUGGUCUGAGAGGAUGAUCAGCCACACUGGGACUGAGACACGGCCCAGACUCCUACGGGAGGCAGCAGUGGGGAAUAUUGGACAAUGGGCGCAAGCCUGAUCCAGCCAUGCCGCGUGAGUGAUGAAGGCCUUAGGGUUGUAAAGCUCUUUUGCCCGGGACGAUAAUGACGGUACCGGAAGAAUAAGCCCCGGCUAACUUCGUG
rnacentral:rRNA from 1 species